AACAGGGAUUGCCCUAGUAACGGCGAGUGAAGCGGCAACAGCUCAAAUUUGAAAUCUGGCCUCGGCCCGAGUUGUAAUUUGCAGAGGAUGUUUCUGGCGCGGUGCCUUCCGAGUUCCCUGGAACGGGACGCCACAGAGGGUGAGAGCCCCGUAUGGUUGGACACCAAGCCUGUGUGAAACUCCUUCGACGAGUCGAGUAGUUUGGGAAUGCUGCUCAAAAUGGGAGGUAAAUCUCUUCUAAAGCUAAAUACCGGCCAGAGACCGAUAGCGCACAAGUAGAGUGAUCGAAAGAUGAAAAGCACCUUGAAAAGGGGGUUAAACAGUACGUGAAAUUGUUGAAAGGGAAGCGCUUGUGACCAGACUUGCGCCGGGCGGUUCAUCCGGGGUUCUCCCCGGUGCACUCCGCCCGGCUCAGGCCAGCAUCGGUUCUCGUUGGGGGAUAAGAACGACAGGAACGUGGCCCUCCUUCGGGUGGGUGUUAUAGCCUGUCGUACGAUACCCUGACGGGGACCGAGGUUCGCGCUCCGCAAGGAUGCUGGCGUAAUGGUCAUCAGCGACCCGUCUUGAAACACGGACCAAGGAGUCGUCCAUUAGAGCGAGCGUUUGGGUGUCAAACCCGCACGCGUAAUGAAAGUGAAAUUAGGUGAGAGCUUCGGCGCAUCAUCGACCGAUCCUGAUGUUCUCGGAUGGAUUUGAGUAAGAGUUUUAACGGACGGACCCGAAAGACAGUGAACUAUGCUUGUAUAGGGUGAAGCCAGAGGAAACUCUGGUGGAGGCUCGCAGCGGUUCUGACGUGCAAAUCGAUCGUCAAAUAUGAGCAUGGGGGCGAAAGACUAAUCGAACUGUCUAGUAGCUGGUUACCGCCGAAGUUUCCCUCAGGAUAGCAGUGUUGACCUUCAGUUUUAUGAGGUAAAGCGAAUGAUUAGGGACUCGGGGGCGCUUUUUAGCCUUCAUCCAUUCUCAAACUUUAAAUAUGUAAGAAGCCCUUGUUACUUAGUUGAACGUGGGCAUUCGAAUGUAUCAACACUAGUGGGCCAUUUUUGGUAAGCAGAACUGGCGAUGCGGGAUGAACCGAACGCGGGGUUAAGGCGCCAGAGUGUACGCUCAUCAGACACCACAAAAGGCGUUAGUACAUCUUGACAGCAGGACGGUGGCCAUGGAAGUCGGAAUCCGCUAAGGACUGUGUAACAACUCACCUGCCGAAUGUACUAGCCCUGAAAAUGGAUGGCGCUCAAGCGUACCGCCCAUACCCCGCCCUCAGGGUAGAAACGAUGCCCUGAGGAGUAGGCGGCCGUGGAGGUCAGUGACGAAG
rnacentral:rRNA from 4 species